GACGUAGGGAGCGAGCGUUGUCCGGAUUCAUUGGGCGUAAAGCGCGCGUAGGCGGUUUGGUAAGUCGGAUGUGAAAUCCCGAGGCUCAACCUCGGGACUGCAUCCGAUACUGCCCGACUAGAGGUAGGUAGGGGAGAUCGGAAUUCCUGGUGUAGCGGUGAAAUGCGUAGAUAUCGGAAGGAACAUCAGUGGCGAAAGCGACUUCCUGGACCAAUACUGACGCUCAUGUGCGAAAGCGUGGGGAGCAAACAGG
rnacentral:rRNA from 1 species